GUUUCCUCUUUAAACACAGAGCAUUUGGUAACACCAACCAACAUCAGGAAGAUGCAAGUUUCAACAUUACUUUGGAUUGCAUUGACGUCUUCACAGCACUUGCAGCAACAGGAAAAGACGUAGGAAUUUUGUUCCCUGCACCUGUAGCAGGUGAUUAGCAUUUCCUGGAAGAAAGCCAAGCUCAACACCUUAACACCUGAUGGCUCAAUGACAUGCAACCAUAGACAUCCUUUCCAGAUUCCUGGAGCCCGUCACAUGCAUGGCUUCCAAGACAGAAAGUGCAGCAAAAUCAUGGGAAACUUCAUUGUCCUCUUUGGCAGGGCUUCAGAUAAAGCUAGCCAACCUUUAUCUGAGAGCCACCAAGAGCCUUGGCUGAUACACAGGCUCCUUUCACAACCACACUAGCCAAUAAAUGUGUGCUAUGA